rnacentral:rRNA from 1 species
UACAGAGGUCUCAAGCGUUGUUCGGAUUCAUUGGGCGUAAAGGGCGCGUAGGCGGCGGGGUAAGUCGGGUGUGAAAUCUCAGAGCUCAACUCUGAAACUGCACUCGAUACUGCUCUGCUUGAGGACUGGAGAGGAGGCUGGAAUUUACGGUGUAGCGGUGAAAUGCGUAGAUAUCGUAAGGAAGACCAGUGGCGAAGGCGGGUCUCUGGACAGUUCCUGACGCUGAGGCACGAAGGUCAGGGGAGCAAACGGG